rnacentral:rRNA from 1 species
UUGCAGUUAAAAAGCUCGUAGUUGAAUUUCUGUGUAGUGCAAUUGAGGUCUUCGGACUGAUUUGCAUUGCACAUCCAUCUGAACAGCAUUUCUUGUCAUUCAUUUGGCGGCUAUGUGAUCAGAUACUUUACCUUGAGAAAAAUAGAGUGUUCCAAGCAGGCGCUCGCCUGAAUAAUAAAGCAUGGAAUAAUACAAUAGGACUGAGUUCUAUUGGUGCAUAGAACGCAGUAAUGAUUAAUAGGGACAGUUGGGGGCAUUUGUAUUUAAUUGUCAGAGGUGAAAUUCUUUGAUUUAUUAAAGACAAACCUAUGCGAAAGCAUUUGCCAAGGAUGUUUUCAUUAAUCAAGAACGAAAGUUAAGGGAUCGAAGACGAUCAGAUACCGUCGUAGUCUUAACCAUAAACUAUGCCGACUAGAGAUUGGAGGUGCAAUCUCUAUACUCCUUCAGCAUCUUAGGAGAAAUCAAAGUCUUUGGGUUCUGGGGGUAGUAUGGUCGCAAGACUGAAACUUAAAGGAGUUGACGGAAGGGCACCACAAGGUGUGGAGCCUGCGGCUUAAUUUGACUCAACACGGGGAAAACUUACCAGGGUCCAGACA